rnacentral:rRNA from 1 species
UGGGGAAUAUUGGGCAAUGGAGGGAACUCUGACCCAGCCAUGCCGCGUGCAGGAUGAAGGCGUUAUGCGUUGUAAACUGCUUUUGCCAGGGGAUAAAAAGACCGUGCGCGGUUAAUUGAAGGUACCUGGUGAAUAAGCCACGGCUAACUACGUGCCAGCAGCCGCGGUAAUACGUAGGUGGCAAGCGUUGUCCGGAUUUAUUGGGUUUAAAGGGUGCGUAGGCGGCUUUGUAAGUCAGUGGUGAAAUAUGGCAGCUUAACUGUCAGGGUGCCAUUGAUACUGCGAGGCUUGAGUACAGAUGAGGUAGGCGGAAUUGACGGUGUAGCGGUGAAAUGCUUAGAUAUCGUCAAGAACACCUAUAGCGAAGGCAGCUUACUAGGCUGUAACUGACGCUGAGGCACGAAAGUGUGGGGAUCAAACAGGAUUAGAUACCCUUGUAGUCCCUGAGCGGGCUGGCAAGGCGCAU